GUGGGUCCCCGCCGCCCGGCCUCCCGCCCCUCCCCGCCACUCGCGGAAGGCCGGCGCGCCCUCGCCGACGCGCCGCCCGCUCGCCCCUUUCCUCUCCGUGACAUCUUAUAUAAUAACCCGAGCGAAUCGAAACGGAAGCGGCGCGCGCGGCCGGGGCCCGGUUCCCGGCCGCCGCUGGGUGCCCGCGCCCCGAGCCCCCGGCCCCCGAGCUAGGCGCCGGAGCGCGCGGCUCCGCGGGGAGGGCCAGAGCGCCGCCUCGGCUCGUCCCUCCUCGCAGAAGGCGCUGCCGCUGCCCGGUCCCCGUCAGGAAGCCGCGAGCGUCACAAACUGCGUCAGCUUCUUCAAACACGUCUCACGGGCCCCUCCGGCCGGGGAGCCGCCGCUGGGGCAGCCGGGCCGCGGCCCGGGCUGGCUGGAGCCCCCGCGGGGAGGAGAAAGUUGCUCGGGGCCCGGCCGCGCCGCGCCUCCGGGCCCUCGCCGCGCAGCCCGCCCCGAUGGCAGAUCUCAACCCUCAACAGUUUCAUACAUCUCCGCUGUAAAUCUUCAAAGAUUGCAAAUGGAUAUUUGAAGAAGAUUGCAUUUCAGUUGGCUUUUGAAAGCUGGACAGGAUUUCAAUAGAUGAAGAUCGAGGAAGGACAUUCUUGGUGGAACAGUGAAUGAUAUGGUCCAACUUGACUUAAACACAAGAGAUGGCCAUGAAAUAAGGAGAGGAACCUGCGGCAGGGAGAUGUCAGUGACAGAAGCUUGAAUUCCCAGUCAUCAUUCCACGCUCUGUCCGUCUAAAGGUAGACCACGCAUUGCCAGCUGCCUUCCUGACUUCCACCUGUCACCACCAUCCUUUGAGCCCCUGAGGAUUAAAAUGGGAGAAUCACGUGGAAAGAGGAGCCUGGUGGGCUAUCAUCUGUGGGUCACACAGAGUCAGACACGACUGAAGUGAUUAAGCAUGCAUUCACUUUGCUGUAUUGCGACGGUUUGGCC
ensembl:lncRNA